rnacentral:rRNA from 1 species
CUUGCACUUCUGACGUUAGCGGCGAACGGGUGAGUAACACGUAAGGAAUCUACCUAUAAGCGGGGGAUAACAUUCGGAAACGGGUGCUAAUACCGCAUAAUAUCUUCUUCCGCAUGGAAGAAGAUUGAAAGACGGCUCUGCUGUCACUUAUAGAUGACCUUGCGGUGCAUUAGUUAGUUGGUGGGGUAAUGGCCUACCAAGACGAUGAUGCAUAGCCGACCUGAGAGGGUGAUCGGCCACAUUGGGACUGAGACACGGCCCAAACUCCUACGGGAGGCAGCAGUAGGGAAUCUUCCGCAAUGGGCGAAAGCCUGACGGAGCAAUGCCGCGUGAGUGAAGAAGGCCUUCGGGUCGUAAAACUCUGUUAUAAGAGAAGAACAAAUUGUAGAGUAACUGCUACAGUCUUGACGGUAUCUUAUCAGAAAGCCACGGCUAACUACGUGCCAGCAGCCGCGGUAAUACGUAGGUGGCAAGCGUUGUCCGGAUUUAUUGGGCGUAAAGGGAGCGCAGGUGGUUUCUUAAGUCUGAUGUGAAAGCCCACGGCUUAACCGUGGAGGGUCAUUGGAAACUGGGGAACUUGAGUACAGAAGAGGAAUGUGGAACUCCAUGUGUAGCGGUGGAAUGCGUAGAUAUAUGGAAGAACACCAGUGGCGAAGGCGACAUUCUGGUCUGUUACUGACACUGAGGCUCGAAAGCGUGGGGAGCAAACAGGAUUAGAUACCCUGGUAGUCCACGCCGUAAACGAUGAGUGCUAGGUGUUGG